AAUAAUGGUCAUACUGCCCUGAACUUGCCUGAUCUUGGAAGCUAAGCAGUGUUGGGCCUGGUUAGUACUUGGAUGGGAAGGGGGAAACAUCUUAUGUUUAUUU
ensembl:rRNA 5S_rRNA 5S ribosomal RNA